GAUGUCGUACGACGAUGUUG
rnacentral:siRNA from 1 species